rnacentral:rRNA from 1 species
GACGAACGCUGGCGGCGUGCCUAAUACAUGCAAGUAGAACGCUGAAGGAGGAGCUUGCUUCUCUGGAUGAGUUGCGAACGGGUGAGUAACGCGUAGGUAACCUGCCUGGUAGCGGGGGAUAACUAUUGGAAACGAUAGCUAAUACCGCAUAAUAGCAGUUAUUGCAUGAUAACUGUUUGAAAGGUGCAAUUGCACCACUACCAGAUGGACCUGCGUUGUAUUAGCUAGUUGGUGGGGUAACGGCUCACCAAGGCGACGAUACAUAGCCGACCUGAGAGGGUGAUCGGCCACACUGGGACUGAGACACGGCCCAGACUCCUACGGGAGGCAGCAGUAGGGAAUCUUCGGCAAUGGACGGAAGUCUGACCGAGCAACGCCGCGUGAGUGAAGAAGGUUUUCGGAUCGUAAAGCUCUGUUGUAAGAGAAGAACCAGUGUGAGAGUGGAAAGUUCACACUGUGACGGUAUCUGACCAGAAAGGGACGGCUAACUACGUG